UUUUUUAAUGUUUUUCAACUCAAGUUCAUUUUAUUUUAUUUUAUAUUUUCCUUGAUUGUGAAAUUUAUGAGACUGCUUCUUUGUGCGAAUAUUACAGGCAUUUUUCCAACGAUGGUGGAGUGAACGGAGCGAGGAGAUCCAAAGUAUAGUCAAGAAGCUUGUCAGCUCUGGUCAGCUGGAGUUAAUAAAUGGAGGUAUAUCAAUGCAUGACGAGGCUACUGUACAUUACAUUGACAUGAUUGACCAAACAACUCUUGGGCACCAAUUUAUCAAAGAAGAAUUCAAUGUAACUCCAAGAAUUGGUUGGCAAAUUUAUCCAUUUGGACAUUCUGCAGUGCAGGCUUACUUGUUAGGGGUAGAACUUGGCUUUGACUCUCUUUUCUUUGCGCGUAUUGACUAUCAAGACAGAGCUAAAAGGGAAAAAUGAGAAAAGUCCUGAGGUUAUCUGGCGGGGCUCUAAGAGUCUUGGUUCAUCUGCACGCACAAAUUUUUACUGGUGCAUUUUCGGAGCCUCCCAGUAAUUUCUACUUUGAAGUGAAUGAUGAUUCCCAUGAUUCACCUAUUGUUCAAGAUGACAUCAAUUUGUUUGACUAUAAUGUCCCUCAGCGCAUCACCGAGUUUGUUGCUGCAGCAGUAUUACAAGUAAGAUGGAUGGUGCUAUAUUGUGCCUUGUGCUUUUGGGGGCUGUUUUUACUAUACUUGUAUUUAAUACAAACCUCUUCUACAUAUUGUCUUUUUAUGAUAUAAAAGAAGUUGCAUAACGAUGCCAUCGGUUUCUAGACAUUCUCUAACUUUUUAUUAUUAUUUGCAAUAGAUACUCAUAUAUGCAACCUAAGUUAACAUAUCAAAUUUAAGGUGUUGGUGUG